CUUCCUUCGAUGGCGGCCUUGCUUCCCUCGGUACUAUCCUCUUCUGGAUGAUUGUAUCCUUCUGGCAUAGUAUCCUCUUCAUUCUUCAGUUGUCUUCUUUCUUCUGCGAUGGGUUCAUUCUUCUGUACCAUUCACCUGAAAAUACCCCCCUUCCCCAGCAAAGCAAUUUUCAGUGACCCAGCUCAUGCUCUUUUUAUUUAUUUUAUUUUAUUUUUUUGUACUUUGUGAUAUAAUUUAAAUUUUUCCUUUCCGUAUUUUUUCUCAGAUACUUUUCUUUCUUUUUUUUUUUGUAUUGGCAUUUUUGCUGGGCCGUGAUCUUUUCACAUAACGCUUUAAUUUUUUUUUGGGGUUCAAACGUGUUAAUUUUUUUUCAUCAAGAUUAAUUUGUUUUGAGCCAAUUUUUCUUAAUAAUUUUUUUUUUAUCCCCAGUCUGCGCAUGUUUUUUUUCCUCACUCCAAAUUAAUACUAUCGAAGUAAAUCCAAAAUCACUGAUGUAAAAUCAGGAAUUAGGAGUUAAUUUUCUUCAGAAGUGUCGAACAUCUCAACGCCAAGGAUACAAUGGGAAC